rnacentral:lncRNA from 1 species
GGGGCUCAUUUGGUGGCAUGAUUCCUCUUAAAGGUUUGACAAUUUGAAAGUAAAAGUUAUCAUGGUUACACUAUUUCUCUUAGAGAUUUGGGUGUCCACUCUCCUAAUCUUUAGAGCCACGGGCAAAAAUGUAUAGAUUUGGUUAUGGUAUCUCACAGUUUAUGCUAGAACUUUUGUUGUUUGUUUCUUUCAUAUCUUAUCACCGC